GGCCCGUUGGCUCAGUGGUUAGAGCGCAGCGCUCGUAACACUAAGGUCGCCGAUUCAAAUCCCACAUGGGCCA